UACGUAGGUGGCAAGCGUUGUCCGGAAUAAUUGGGCGUAAAGGGCGCGCAGGCGGCUGUGUAAGUCUGUCUAGAAAGUGCGGGGCUAAACCCCGUGAGAGGAUGGAAACUGGACAGCUGAGAGUGUCGGAGAGGAAAGCGGAAUUCCUAGUGUAGCGGUGAAAUGCGUAGAUAUUAGGAGGAACACCGGUGGCGAAAGCGGCUUUCUGGACGACAACUGACGCUGAGGCGCGAAAGCCAGGGGAGCAAACGGG
rnacentral:rRNA from 1 species